GGUGGCUCAGUGGUAGAGCACAUACCUUGCAUGCAUGAGGCCCUGGGUUCCAUUCCUCAGCACCA
rnacentral:tRNA from 1 species